UCAGUUACAUGUGAAAUCUAAGGAACAAAAUAAAUGAACCAAUAAAACAGAAACAAACUCAUAGGUACAAAGAAUAAAUUGAUGGCUUCCAUUUGGGAGAGGGGUUGAGGAAGUGAGUGAAUAAGGUGAAAAGAUUAAGAUGUACAAAUUGCCAGUUAUAAAAACAGUCAUGGGGAUGUAAAGUACAGUGUAGAAAUACAGUCAAUAAUAUUUUAAGAACUACGUAUGGUACCAGACAGGUACCAGACUUAUUGGGGUGGUCACUUUAUAAGUUAGAUAGUAUCUAAUCAUUAUGUUGUAUACCUGAAACUAAUGUAAUGUUGACUGUCAGCUGUAACUAAUUUUUUUUUAUUUUUUAAGACCACUGUAUAUUAUAAUGGACAAUGCAUUCACCUUAGACCUGAGUUUUGUAAAAUAAUAAUGUCUAACCAAUAUAGAAAUAGUUUAAUGAUAUCACCACAAGUAAUUCUGCAUUUCACUAAUGCAAUCCCUUUCAGCACACAACUCUUUAACAUAACUUGAGUCAGGCAUGUACUUUAAAAGAUCCGGGAGAAUGAACAAUGUAUACGUCCUUCCAGCAAUUUCUCUGGGAUUGAGGUAAUACUCAACUGAGGUACAUGAGAUACUACUAAGUAGCAAGCACCAGUCUAAUGCCUGGGGUUUUUCUUGUUGCUAGUUGAACAGAGCACCACAUAUCCUAACAGACAAUAGAGUGUACAGAGCUUUACAAAGUGGAGCACCUAAAUAAAUGAAUGGCAUCCCCUCCUAAGAGACAGUACUAUUGCAAACCAGAAUUCAUUCUCAGACUCUCCAGACCUUAAAAUAUAUGUAUUAAAUAUGAAUAUUAAUAUUUAGCUUCAAAAUAAUCUAGAGAUAGGAGGAUGAAGGAGUAAUGACUGGAGAACAAGAAAUUAAAUUUUAAUAAAAAAGACUGGCUAUAUUUUGAUACUUAUUAAAAGUUGGGUGAUGAGUAUAUGAAGUGCUAAAUUAAAAAGUGAAAAUAAAAAUCUAAAGAAUUAUCCAAAGAAAGCUUAAUAUUGUACUAUACUAGUCUUAAUGUACCCUUUAAGAUAAUUUAUUUGUGAGGACACGUGAAACUUAAAGUAAAUAUACAUAUACAUUUAAAAUAUAAUUAUAUAUAUGUUCUUAUAAAUACAUAUAUAUUUUACUUAUAAAAAUACACACACAUAAGUGAUUCUUUUAAACCAAUUACAAGCUUGAAACAUUUGUCAACAUAAUAAAAUCAGACUUAGAACAGCUUAUAGGUAUCCAUCUUUGUGGCAAUAAUUAACAAAGUCAGUCUCAAGUGUGGGCUUCUCCUAAUUUCAAAUAAUAAAACUUAUCUAUUUAUAAAAGAAUAUUUUCUUUGUGUUCUCUAUAACAGGCAUCUGGCUCAUUCGAAAGUAUUAGCAAAUGAUUAAGAAAUAUGCUAAAGGAACAGGGGCCAUCAUUUUUAAGAUUAAUCUACCUGGAAGUGUUUGAGGUGUUCUCUAUAUGUAGUCUGAUGGUUAAGUUCAUAAACUUUGGAACCCUGAUGCCAAAAUUUAAAUCCCAACUCUGUCACUGCUUAUGUAAUCCUGGACAAUUCUUUCUAUGCCCCAAUUUCCUCAUUUGUAAAAUGAGUAUAAAAGUAGUUAUCUACCCCUUGGUAAAUGAGUUUGUCUAGGUAGGACCUUUAAAAGAGUAGUGUAGCAAUAGCUGAUAAAUGUUAGCUAUAUUAAGGAUAAUAAUUUUCAUAAUAGCGAUUUCUAUUAUUAGUUCAACCUUUCAGAAGUUGGCUCCUACUUCUUAUGCCAAUGGUUCCUACUGAACAGGUUCUGACAGCGCUGAAAUGAUCAAGGCUAUACGCAGAGUUCAAAUAAGUUAGCUCAUAAUUGACUCUUGUUCAUGGAUUCAAAGGCCAAGGUGAGACUAAUAAGACAUGGAAGCAAUGUGAUAUUAUUGGUGGUUAAAAGAGGUAGUACAAACCAGGGUUUUGCCCUGGGUGGUGUGGCUCAGCUGGCUGGAAUAGGGAGGGUCCUGUGGACCAAGGGAGUGUGGGUUCAAUUCCUGGUCAGGGUACAUGCCUCAGUCUCAGGUUGGUCCCUGGUCAAGGUGAGAACAAGGAGCAAAAGAUCAAUGUUUCUCUCUCACAUCUCUGUUUCUCUCCCUCUCUCUCUCCCUCCCUUCCCCCGCUCUAAGAUCAAUAAGCAUGCCCUGGUGUGAGGAUUAAAAAAAGAAAAAAAGUAGUAGUCUAAAAACUGUAUCUGAAUCCUGACCACAACUAGUGUAAAAUCAUUGGCCUAAAAUGCCCAAAUUUAGAUAUUUAGUUGGAAAUCAGUUUGGUAGAAAGGCCCAUAAAUCAAUAAUUUGUGGAGAACACAUGGUCACUUUUUUUUGACACAGUUUAUUGUACUUUGGGUCUGCCAGACAGGGAUGGCGCUUCCUUGCUGAUUUUCAGGGGCACAGCCACAAUGGCUGUGCGAGAAAGAGCCCCACAGGAUGAACAACCACAAUUUCAAGAGAAUCAGAGAGAAAAUUCUUGGAGGGGAAAGGCAGCAAGGCACUCCACACUGUCAAAAGUGCUGUCACUGGGCCUAAUUUCCUAAAAUUUGACCCAGUUUCCUUCCAGGGACUCUAGUCUUCCAUGUCCCUACAACCCCAAGAAAUUUCAGGGGGAGAGGGUCUAUGGUCCAUAAUCCAGGUGAACGUUUUUUGUAUAUCAAGAGUCCUCCUCUUAAAAUGCCUGGAUAAAAGAUACAUUUGAUGUCUUUAAACAAGGAUUUGCCAGUAGAAAAAGCAGAUUACAUUGUGAAAAACCAAAUUGAAAUAACUCCUGUUCUCACCAGCUUCUAAAUUCUUUGUAAAAUCUUUCCAGGAAAGAUCAGGACCAUCCUCGUAAAUAAGUAGCCUAGAAGCAGGAUAGUUUCAAACGUGGCUACAAAACUGCUACUCUUCCACCUCCAUGAAUGGUAACAGGUGAAUCGCCUCUCCUAGGCUAGUACCCAGGGCUGGGAGGAGCCCUACCUAGGCAUGACUCGCAGAGGUUACACAUCCUUCUAGCUUACAACAAGCAACUGCCCAAAAUAAAGUGGUUAUGAACUUAGAUCACAGAUUCCUCAUCCAAGGACUAGAUGUUAUGUUAAAAAGCAACAGAGUUCCAGAAAAUCAAACCCUGAUUUUCCAGGUGGGAAAUGAUAUUCACCCAGUGGGUUUAUGACUAGAGAAAAUCAACUAGUAAGUAUCUAUGAGACACUUAUGAAUGUCUGAGAAAGCUCAGAACUGCAUAAGAAAGUAAACGAUGAAGGAGAAAAGAUACAAACUGUGAGGCAGAAAAUUUGAAACAUAUGAGGUGUAAAUCUGGGUUCUCAAAGAGC